UACGGGGGGGGCAAGCGUUGUUCGGAAUUACUGGGCGUAAAGGGCUCGUAGGCGGCCAACUAAGUCGGAUGUGAAAUCCCCAGGCUUAACCUGGGAACUGCAUCCGAUACUGGAUGGCUCGAAUCCGGGAGAGGGAUGCAGAAUUCCAGGUGUAGCGGUGAAAUGCGUAGAUAUCUGGAGGAACACCGGUGGCGAAGGCGGCAUCCUGGACCAACACUGACGCUGAGUGAGCGAAAGCCAGGGGAGCAAACGGG
rnacentral:rRNA from 1 species